rnacentral:rRNA from 1 species
UACGGAGGGUGCAAGCGUUAUCCGGAUUCACUGGGUUUAAAGGGUGCGUAGGCGGCUCUAUAAGUCAUUGGUGAAAGCUCGCAGCUUAACUGUGAAACUGCCAUUGAAACUGUUUAGCUUGAAUGUGGUUGAAGUGGGCGGAAUACAACAUGUAGCGGUGAAAUGCUUAGAUAUGACAUAGAACACCGAUAGCGAAGGCAGCUUACUACAGGAAGAUUGACGCUGAGGCACGAAAGCGUGGGGAGCAAACAGG